rnacentral:rRNA from 1 species
GACGAACGCUGGCGGCGUGCUUAACGCAUGCAAGUCGAACGGAAAGGCCCUGCUUUUGUGGGGUGCUCGAGUGGCGAACGGGUGAGUAACACGUGUGUAACCUGCCCUUGACUUUGGGAUAACUUCAGGAAACUGGGGCUAAUACCGGAUAGGAGCUCCUGCUGCAUGGUGGGGGUUGGAAAGUUUCGGCGGUUGGGGAUGGACUCGCGGCUUAUCAGCUUGUUGGUGGGGUAGUGGCUUACCAAGGCUUUGACGGGUAGCCGGCCUGAGAGGGUGACCGGCCACAUUGGGACUGAGAUACGGCCCAGACUCCUACGGGAGGCAGCAGUGGGGAAUAUUGCACAAUGGGCGGAAGCCUGAUGCAGCAACGCCGCGUGCGGGAUGACGGCCUUCGGGUUGUAAACCGCUUUCGCCUGUGACGAAGCGUGAGUGACGGUAAUGGGUAAAGAAGCACCGGCUAACUACGUG